CGAACGCUGGCGGCGUGCCUAAUACAUGCACGUCGAGCGGACGAAUCGAAAGCUUGCUUUUGAUUCGUUAGCGGCGGACGGGUGAGUAACACGUGGGCAACCUGCCCUGUAGACGGGGAUAACACCGAGAAAUCGGUGCUAAUACCGGAUAACACGAAAUGUCGCAUAACGUUUCGUUGAAAGACGGCGCAAGCUGUCGCUACAGGAUGGGCCCGCGGCGCAUUAGCUAGUUGGUGAGGUAACGGCUCACCAAGGCGACGAUGCGUAGCCGACCUGAGAGGGUGAUCGGCCACACUGGGACUGAGACACGGCCCAGACUCCUACGGGAGGCAGCAGUAGGGAAUCUUCCGCAAUGGACGAAAGUCUGACGGAGCAACGCCGCGUGAGCGAAGAAGGCCUUCGGGUCGUAAAGCUCUGUUGUUAGGGAAGAACAAGUAACGCAGUAACUGGCGUUACCGUGACGGUACCUAACGAGAAAGCCACGGCUAACUACGUG
rnacentral:rRNA from 1 species